GAUGAACGCUGGCGGCGUGCUUAACACAUGCAAGUCGAACGAAGCACUUAAGAUUGAUUCUUCGGAUGACGUCUUUUGUGACUUAGUGGCGGACGGGUGAGUAACGCGUGGGUAACCUGCCUCACACAGGGGGAUAACAGUUAGAAAUGACUGCUAAUACCGCAUAACCCGAUAGGAUCGCAUGAUCCAGACGGAAAAGAUUUAUCGGUGUGAGAUGGACCCGCGUCUGAUUAGCUAGUUGGUGAGGUAACGGCCCACCAAGGCGACGAUCAGUAGCCGGCCUGAGAGGGUGAACGGCCACAUUGGGACUGAGACACGGCCCGAACUCCUACGGGAGGCAGCAGUGGGGAAUAUUGCACAAUGGGGGAAACCCUGAUGCAGCGACGCCGCGUGAGUGAAGAAGUAUUUCGGUAUGUAAAGCUCUAUCAGCAGGGAAGAAAAUGACGGUACCUGACUAAGAAGCCCCGGCUAACUACGUG
rnacentral:rRNA from 1 species